rnacentral:lncRNA from 1 species
CAACAGAAUCUAGCUGGCUGUUAUGAAAAUCAGAGAUUUCAUUUUCCUUAAUUGAAGACAGGCCCUCAUUUCAUCACAAAAUGGAGUCAGAGCAGAACCUGCCUGAAUCACAAUGUGGCUUCCAACCAGAUCGCAGCACCAUUGACAUGGUCUUCACGGUGAGGCAAAUGCAGGAAAAAUGCCUUGAGCAGAACCUGAGUCUCUACAUUGUCUUCAUAGACCCGACAAAGGCGUUCGACACAGUGAACAGGGACGCAUUGUGGGUGAUCCUCAGCAAGCUCGGUUGCCCAGCAAAAUUCAUCAAACUGAUCCAGCUCUUUCAUGUCGACAUGACAGGGGAAGUCCUAUCUGGUGGAGAGACUUCUGAUCGCUUCAACAUCUCCAAUGGCAUGAAACAAGGCUAUGUCCUCGCUCCGGUACUAUUCAACCUAUACUUCACCCAAGUAUUACGACAUGCUCUGAUGGAUCUAGACCUGGGCUUCUACAUCAAAUACCGACUGGAUGGCUCACUAUUUGACCUUCACUGCCUGACUGCAAAAACAAAGACAACAGAGAGACUCAUGCUAGAAGCUCUCUUCACAGAUGACUGUGCUCUCAUGGCCCACCAAGAAAAUCAUCUCCAAACCAUUGUGGACAGAUUCUCUACUGCAACAAAACUGUUUGGCCUGACUAUCAGCCUCAGCAAAACAGAGGUGCUGUUCCAACCUGCACCAGGGAGGCCAACGAACCAGCCGUGCAUUACAAUCGACGGCACGCAGCUUUCUAACGUCAACACUUUCAAGUACCUGGGCAGCACCAUCGCCAAUGAUGGGUCCCUAGACCACGAGAUGAAUGCCAGGAUCCAAAAGGCCAGCCAGGCACUCAGGUGGCUGAGCUCCAAAGUCCUCCAACACAGAGGUGUAAGCACUUGCGAUGAAGCUCAAAGUGUAUAACACAGUGGUCCUCAGCUCGCUCCUGUACGGCUGCGAGAUGUGGACACUGUAUGGGAAGCACAUGAAACAGCUGGAGCAAUUUCACCAACGCUCUCUCCGGUCAAUCAUGAGGAUCCGAUGGCAGGACCGAAUCACCAAUCAGGAAGUCCUCGACAGAGCCAACUCCACCAGCAUCGAAGUCAUGCUACGAUGGUCUGGACACAUCAUCCGCAUGGACCCACAGCGAAUACCAAGACAGGUAUUCUAUGGUGAACUGUCAGCUGGACUCAGGAAACAAGGCCGACCAAAGAAAAAAUUCAAGGAUCAGCUAAAGUCAAACUUGAAGUGGGCUGGCAUUACACCAAACAACUAGAACUCGCUGCCUCUGUCAGAAGCAGCUGGCGAACCCACAUUCACCAUGCCGCCACCACCUUUGAAGACGAACGACAUCGAUGUCUUGCCGCUGCGCGUGAACGUCGACACCAGGCCACAACCACACCUCCCAUAACAACUGGCGUCCCAUGCCCCAUGUGCCACAAACUCUGUGCCUCAGCCUUUGGACUCCAAAGCCACAUGAGGGUACACCGUAGAUGAAAUUGCACAAAGACAAUCAUCAUUCUCGAUCACCAAGAGACUACCACUAUUUGCAUUUAUUAGAUAUAUUCCAAUAGAGUAGUUGUCCACUUCUUGUAGGCAGUCAUUAACAGGAUUAAUCGGGAUGCCUUUUUGCAGUCUAAUGUUUGUUACAACUCAACUUUCCUGAAGCUAAUUUCUAUCUGUUCAUUGAUUUUUUUUUUAACCAAAACUUAAAACAAGUUGGAAAGAUAAUUUAGAGCACUUUUCCAUCAGCUCAGUGUUCACCUCUGGCUUUAGGCAAUGAACAGGAGUCUAUACUUGGAAGUCCUCUCUUGCUAUAUAUGUGUCCACUUGGGUAUCUAAGACUGACUAAAAAUUCUUUCUCUGAUCUCUACUUUUCUUCCUCCCCCAUCAGCAAAAUUGUAUAGCAAAGUGCUCUGAGUUGGGUGAAAUAAAGGCUGCCCAUGGCAACCA